rnacentral:tRNA from 1 species
GGGAUUGUAGCUCAGUUGGUAGAGCGCUUGCCUAAUAUGUAUGAGGCACUGGGUUCCAUCCUCAGCACUA